CAGCAGCCGCGGUAAUACGUAGGUGGCAAGCGUUGUCCGGAAUUAUUGGGCGUAAAGGGCUCGCAGGCGGUUUCUUAAGUCUGAUGUGAAAGCCCCCGGCUCAACCGGGGAGGGUCAUUGGAAACUGGGAAACUUGAGUGCAGAAGAGGAGAGUGGAAUUCCACGUGUAGCCGUGAAAUGCGUAGAGAUGUGGAGGAACACCAGUGGCGAAGGCGACUCUCUGGUCUGUAACUGACGCUGAGGAGCGAAAGCGUGGGGAGCGAACAGGAUUAGAUACCCGCGUAGUCCCUGUCUCUUAUAC
rnacentral:rRNA from 1 species